rnacentral:rRNA from 1 species
GAUGAACGCUGGCGGCGUGCCUAAUACAUGCAAGUCGAGCGAACGGACGAGAAGCUUGCUUCUCUGAUGUUAGCGGCGGACGGGUGAGUAACACGUGGAUAACCUACCUAUAAGACUGGGAUAACUUCGGGAAACCGUAGCUAAUACCGGAUAAUAUUUUGAACCGCAUUGUUCAAAAGUGAAAGACGGUCUUGCUGUCACUUAUAGAUGGAUCCGCGCUGCAUUAGCUAGUUGGUAAGGUAACGGCUUACCAAGGCAACGAUGCAUAGCCGACCUGAGAGGGUGAUCGGCCACACUGGAACUGAGACACGGUCAAGACUCCUACGGGAGGCAGCAGUAGGGAAUCUUCCGCAAUGGGCGAAAGCCUGACGGAGCAACGCCGCGUGAGUGAUGAAGGUCUUCGGAUCGUAAAACUCUGUUAUUAGGGAAGAACAUAUGUGUAAGUAACUGUGCACAUCUUGACGGUACCUAAUCAGAAAGCCACGGCUAACUACGUG